UGAACGCUGGCGGCGUGCCUAAUACAUGCAAGUCGAGCGAACAGACGAGGAGCUUGCUCCUCUGACGUUAGCGGCGGACGGGUGAGUAACACGUGGAUAACCUACCUAUAAGACUGGGAUAACUUCGGGAAACCGGAGCUAAUACCGGAUAAUAUAUUGAACCGCAUGGUUCAAUAGUGAAAGACGGUUUUGCUGUCACUUAUAGAUGGAUCCGCGCCGCAUUAGCUAGUUGGUAAGGUAACGGCUUACCAAGGCGACGAUGCGUAGCCGACCUGAGAGGGUGAUCGGCCACACUGGAACUGAGACACGGUCCAGACUCCUACGGGAGGCAGCAGUAGGGAAUCUUCCGCAAAGGGCGAAAGCUUGACGGAGCAACGCCGCGUGAGUGAUGAAGGUCUUCGGAUCGUAAAACUCUGUUAUUAGGGAAGAACAAAUGUGUAAGUAACUAUGCACGUCUUGACGGUACCUAAUCAGAAAGCCACGGCUAACUACGUG
rnacentral:rRNA from 1 species